rnacentral:rRNA from 1 species
GAUGAACGCUGGCGGCGUGCUUAACACAUGCAAGUCGAGCGAGUGAGUUCUUCGGAACGAUCUAGCGGCGGACGGGUGAGUAACACGUGGGCAACCUGCCUCAUAGAGGGGAAUAGCCUCCCGAAAGGGAGAUUAAUACCGCAUAAAAUUAUCGAGUGGCAUCACACGGUAAUCAAAGGAGUAAUCCGCUAUGAGAUGGGCCCGCGGCGCAUUAGCUAGUUGGUGAGGUAACGGCUCACCAAGGCGACGAUGCGUAGCCGACCUGAGAGGGUGAUCGGCCACAUUGGAACUGAGACACGGCCCAGACUCCUACGGGAGGCAGCAGUGGGGAAUAUUGCACAAUGGGGGAAACCCUGAUGCAGCAACGCCGCGUGAGUGAUGAAGGUCUUCGGAUUGUAAAGCUCUGUCUUUGGGGACGAUAAUGACGGUACCCAAGGAGAAAGCCACGGCUAACUACGUGCCAGCCGCCGCCGUAA